rnacentral:tRNA from 1 species
UGGCUCAGAUGGUAAAGCAUCUGUCUACAAUACAGGAGACCCGGGUUUGAUCCCUGG